rnacentral:rRNA from 1 species
GGGCCCGCACAAGCAGUGGAGUAUGUGGUUUAAUUCGAAGCUACGCGAAGAAUCUUACCAAGGCUUGACAUCUUCAGAAUCCUUUGGAAACUUAGGAGUGCCUUCGGGAACUGAAAGACAGGUGGUGCAUGGUUGUCGUCAGCUCGUGUCGUGAGAUGUUGGGUUAAGUCCCGCAACGAGCGCAACCCUUGUUGUUAGUUGCUACAUUUAGUUGGGCACUCUAGCAAGACUGCCGGUGAUAAAUCGGAGGAAGGCGAGGAUGACGUCAAAUCAUCAUGCCCCUUACGCCUUGGGCUACACACGUACUACAAUGGCCGAUACAAAAGGUUGCAAUAUCGCGAGGUGGAGCUAAUCCUGUAAAAUCGGUCUCAGUUCGGAUUGUAGGCUGAAACUCGCCUACAUGAAGUCGAAUUGCUAGUAAUCGCGAAUCAGAAUGUCG